AUGAUGGAGCAGCUGAAGACCAUCCGGGAUGCGAGUCAAGCAGCCUAUGACGCCAGCUCUGCCCUCCAAAGCAAUGUCCAGAACUCCUGUGAUCUUGUGGCUCGCUACUCAGAGCUAGAACAGAAACACACUCAAGUCGAGCUGAGCUUGAAGCUGGUUCAGGAGAAGCUGACAAAGGCGAAGGAGGAGACUGAAGGUAAGGUAAAGGAGGCCCAGCAGAAGAAAGACCUUGAGCUAGCUGAGAAGAUCAAGCUUGCUGACGAGAAGUUAGCUUCAGUCACCAAGCUUGAACAGGACAAUACCAACCUGAAAACUGCUCUUGGGAUUGCCAACAAAGAAGUCAGUCGACUGAGAACCGACAAAGCUGCCUUGACCGAUCAAGUCAGCAAAUUGACUGAGAAGAAGACUGCGCUGGAGGCCUUCCUGAGUGGCUUUGCCAAGAAGCUGUUUCUUAUGCUCGAAGAAUUUUGUCAAAACUUUGAAGAAGAAACCAGCCGACUGGAGCCAAACCUUGACCCUGUCAAUUCUCCGGUAAAUGACGAGGUUGCCAUGGAUAUCUUCCGACUGGAAUCUCGCGUUGCAUCCGUCGUGGAUUAUCUCGCAAGGCUGAAGGCCGCCACAUCUCGCAUCGACUCGACGCUCUGGCCUGAGGAGACACUUCAGAAUGACCUUGAGUCAUUAAUGGCCCGCUUGAACACGAUCCCUGGUCGAGUGCAGGAAUGGAAGAAGUCCUCAGCUCGGUGUGGUGCAGAUGUUGCUCUGUGUCUGGCCCGAGUCCACUGCAAGGAUGCACGAGAGGAGAAGCUGGCGGCUCUUCGGGUGGCCAAUACCAAGAAGCACGACUUUAGGUCCUUCAUGGAGACUUUCCUUGCAGCUGCCACUCGGAUCGCCGACGGGAUUGACCUUGAUGAAUUCGUCGCACCUUCCAGCCCUCCACAGGAGGGGUAA
rnacentral:rRNA from 1 species